GGCAACCGCCGCAGCUGGUGUUGGGUUCUGCAAAUAUGAGCCUAUCAAUAAUGUCUUCGUUGUCCACAAUUGUGACAUUAUUGGAUCUACCUCAGAGAUGAGCAAUCUGGUGGCCAAGUAUAUUGAGGACGAGAAGGAUAACGACCUGAUGGAGAUUCCAAAAAUUUCCCGCCUAGGGCCGCCAAAUGCGCCUUAUGAAAUCACGUAUG
rnacentral:sRNA from 1 species